rnacentral:rRNA from 1 species
AGCAGCCGCGGUAAUUCCAGCUCCAAUAGCGUAUAUUAAAGUUGUUGCAGUUAAAAAGCUCGUAGUUGAAUUUCGGGGUUAGUAGGUUGGUCAUGCCUCUGGUAUGUACUGGUCUCACUGAUUCCUCCUUCCUGAUGAGCCGUAAUGCCAUUAAUUUGGUGUUGCGGGGAGACUGGACUGUUACUUUGAAAAAAUUAGAGUGUUUAAAGCAAAGCUAACGCUUGAAUACAUUAGCAUGGAAUAAUGAAAUAGGACGUUCGAUCUUAUUUGUUGGUUUCUAAGAUUGACGUAAUGAUAAUAGGGAUAGUUGGGGCAUUAGUAUUCAAUUGUCAGAGUGAAAUUCUUGGAUUUAUUGAAG